AUUCUCCUCUCUGUGAGCCCAGACCAGACGUCUAUCAUUUCAGCCACUGUUGGCAUACAGAGGGGAUGGUAGAAAUAUUCACUCAUUCUAUUCCAGCUGCAUGUCCUGAGACUAACCAGAGUUAGCUUGAGCAUCACUGGUUUUCUGAAAGAUCCUCCUCAGUGUUGCCUUCUACUGCUGCUGCUGCCCAGUAGCUGCCCUUCAGAAGUUUUUUCACCCACCUCACAAUCUUCCUCUGCUGAUGGCACCAUUACUCCUGGAGAGGCUGGAUGCAUCUUAGCUGGUGUUUCCUCAUUGACUGUUCCAUCUUGGGUGACCCUGUAAGGACACCAGUCUAAUGAAUACUAGAGCACCUUCUGGCAGCCUUGCUCUCAGCUUCUCUGACCCUUCACCAUAUUAAGAUUAUUUUAUCACUGUGUUAACUUGGAAUGUGUCAUUGAUGACUUACUUUCUUCAGCUCCACUGGCUUUUCUUCCCUGCAACUGCUGGUGUCCUACAUGCUUAUGUGCACUUGAAAUUUUGAAGAAAGCACUUGACAGGAAUUUGGUAUUUCAGCUGAACAAACCAGCUUGCCGACUGGGAUUUUAAAAUGCCUCAUAUGGCAGAAAACACUUAGUAGGGCUGAUCCUAACCAUCAAAAGUGAUUUGCACCAUGAGAUUAGGAAUGUUG